rnacentral:tRNA from 2 species
GGCUGGCUGGCCAAAUGGUAAGGCGUCGGACUCCUAUCAAGAGCGUAAUCCGAAGAUUCUGGGUUCGAGUCCCAGGUUGGUCG